rnacentral:rRNA from 1 species
UACGUAGGUGGCAAGCGUUGUCCGGACUUACUGGGUGUAAAGGGCGUGCAGCCGGAGAGACAAGUCAGAUGUGAAAUCCACGGGCUCAACUCGUGGACUGCAUUUGAAACUGUUUCCCUUGAGUGUCGGAGAGGUAAUCGGAAUUCCUUGUGUAGCGGUGAAAUGCGUAGAUAUAAGGAAGAACACCAGUGGCGAAGGCGGAUUACUGGACGAUAACUGACGGUGAGGCGCGAAAGCGUGGGGAGCAAACAGG